rnacentral:rRNA from 1 species
GUACUACUCUCAGAGUUUGAUCCUGGCUCAGGAUGAACGCUGGCGGCGUGCUUAACACAUGCAAGUCGAACGAAGCACUUUUGAUUGAUUUCCUCGGAAUGAUUUCACUUGUGACUGAGUGGCGGACGGGUGAGUAACGCGUGGGUAACCUGCCUCAUACAGGGGGAUAACAGUUGGAAACGACUGCUAAUACCGCAUAAGCGCACGGUAUCGCAUGAUACAGUGUGAAAAACUCCGGUGGUAUGAGAUGGACCCGCGUCUGAUUAGCUAGUUGGUGAGGUAAUGGCCCACCAAGGCGACGAUCAGUAGCCGACCUGAGAGGGUGACCGGCCACAUUGGGACUGAGACACGGCCCAA